CCGCUUCCCCUUCCACCCCCCGGACAACACAUGCAGUACUGGGAGUUCUGGAAGGGCUUCCUGUCACUGGCGCCGCCGGAAACGGGCAGCAGUGCCACAGCGAUCGAUUCCUGGCUGGGGCUGGUUGCUUGCAGAACCAUCUGUUAACAGGCUGUGGAGAGAGCUCAGAAUUGUCUGAGAAAUGACCUCGAAGGCUCAUCCUGGGUUGCCUGGCAACGAGCAAGCCGGGACUGAUGGCUCCCUGUCCCCGAAGGAGGGGCUGUGCCCGAACUCUACCUCCCGCGGGGAGAGGGCAAAUCAGAGCUGUCACCCUGCUAGACAAUUGCUAAGUCCAAUUGCUGGGCUCCAACACCUCCAGAGAAAUUUGCUUUGGGCACAGUGCUGGACACACAAAGAGAUGCCCAGUAAAAGCUUGUUGAAAAAUCAUCAUCAUCUGAAUAAGUGUUCACCAUGUCCCAGGCACUACGCUAAGAGCUUUACUAAUAUUAUGCCUUUUGUGGCAGACAACCGCCAAGAUGUUAAUUUUACCGAAGAAAGAACUGAGACUCACAGAUGUAUUUGCCAAAGGUCUCACACCUGGUACCAUGAAAGUUCCAGGAGCCUGGAGUCGAGGCUGCUGGUUCUGUGGACAGACCCCUGCCAGAAGAGACUCCACACGCCGACAGCCUGACUGUGGAGACCCCACUUUUAAGCCCUCUGCUACAUGGCCUCUGACAGCAACCAAAAGUGAAAGGACAGAGCAAGCCUUUCUCCUCAGAUGUCUUUCUUGUUUUAUGAGGGAUAGGGGUUUCUCCAGAACCCCCUUCGGUCUCAUCAAGCAGAACGGGGUCCCACACCUGCCCAUUAAAGACUAACUGGCAGAGAGGAAUGGGAACCCCUGGUUAUAGAACACCUGAACCAAUCGGGCUUCUGUCAGCUUUGACAGGUGCUUCUCAGAUUCCAGGUGCCUCAGAAUCAGCCACAGGGUUUGUUAAAACUGAUUUCUGGGCCCCAUCCCCCAGGCUUGAUUAGGUAGGCCUGAGGGGGCGGUCAGGGGUUUGCAUUCUCCCCAGCAUCCAGGUGCUGCUGGCCCCGGACCACACUUGGAGAAUCCUGGCACAGAGAGGGAUCAGUGUCUGGGCCCCAGGGUGUAACCCGAAUCCGGCUGCGGUCUUGGCCCCUGGAGACUGAGGCAGGUUCUGGAAAAGUGGCUGUGUCUUUCACUGUGAACUUUAAGGGUGUUCAGGCAGGACCUGACAUGGGGAGGACUCUCUUGGCUGUCAGCUUAUUCUGAAAUUGGAAUUUCCGAUGCACCUGGAAGAGUCCAGAAGGGGACCAUUGUUAUUUAUAACCACAGCUUCCUUCUCAAGAGAGUAAAUCCUGCUUCAUUAAAUAAAGGGCCC